rnacentral:ncRNA from 1 species
ACAAAAGUAUUGAGAAGGAUAAGGAUUUAAGGAAGCUGUUUACAGAGAGGCGAGCAUUGCUGAGAGCUCACCAACGAUUGCACCUUACAAUUCACCACCUUUGAACUGACUAUCUGAACUUACAGUAAGAUAGUCCGGAACCUUUUUCCGUUACCAAGGCCCAUGAGGAUAGCUUCGGCUAUUAAAUGAGGGUGGAACCACGACUGUUCAUUCAGACGUCCCUUUG